ensembl:lncRNA
GCAAAUCAAAAGGCAAAAUAUCUUCAGUUAAAUUUCUACUUAAAGCGGAAAUGUUGGCAGAAUUUAAAAGAGUGCUAGUUGCCAAAGCCUGACUGCGCUAUCAACAAAAACGUGUGAAAUAUCUUCCUGUUCUGCCCUUGAUGUUAAUUCUGGUAGCAUCUGCAUUCUGGGGAGAGGCCUGGAGCUCAGCUUAAAUGCUGGUAAAGAGGCCGUCAAUGCUCAGUUUUAAAAUAUAUUUAUCAAGCAUUUUAUUUGGCUCACUAUACUUUCUGUAAGUUAAUACUUCUAAUGGUGACAGUCUCCUUAGCUGUCACAUAACCACGUGUACCUCUGCAUGUGCUGUUGAUAUUUUGCUGAUUUGUGUAGGCCUGUGUCAGAGCUUGUUUUGGGAGAGGAGCUGGUGGACAGCGCUGUUAUGCACUGGUGGAGGGAAAGAACUGGAUGGAUGUGUAAAGCAACUGAUGGAAAAAUGGUAAAGAUGCAAAUGCAGUGGUCCCAGUGAUCACUCUAGGUCUACUUUUCUGCCUUCCUUUCCAAACCAUUAAAUGGCAGAGGAAAAUAUGUUCUGGGAGCCAGAAGUGCAGCUGGAGAAGAGGGUUUCACAGGGGAACUGUCACUUCAGUUUUACAUAGCUGGACUCUCACCUCCAGAGCAAGCAACAUGGUGCAUCCACUUUGCUGUCCCUGGCAUGUGUUACACAGAGUCGCAGAAUCAUAGAAUGCUGUUGUUUGUUAUCUUUGUUAUCCCCAGCGCAGUUUUGGCUCAUCUUCUGCGGCUGUAAUCUUUUGACUAAUGACUGACCACUAGUAAGUAGCACGGUUCAGUUUAUAACCUUUGGGUCUUGGUUAGCAAUCUAUGAUCGUACAUAGAGGGCUCCCGCUAUUAUCCCACAUCUGUAUUCACCUACAUUGUGCUUUAUGCUGCAGUCAAAUGUAGUUCAUUC